GCUGGAACCACGGAGCACCAGCUCUUUGACUGUCCCGGUGCAGCCGGAGAGCCUGAAUAUGGGUGAUUCCGGGUCCCGGUGAGAGACUCAGAGGCUUGAAGACGGAGGCCUACCUAGAAGGGGAGUGGGGCCGAUGGGCGCUGCUUUGCUUACUGCCCGACCAAUGCGACAUAACAGACGUAAUAGACGUAAUGUAUAUAUAUAAGUAAGUAAUAUAGGUGUUCCUGUGCCCUAACCAUGAACGGCUGUCUAUGUCUAUGCUAUACUGGAGUUUCAUUUUAAGCUUAAGUCUCAUACUCCCCAGUAUUAGGGAAUGCCAGUGGUUUAUCACUCUGAAGCAACUCAGUGGGUCACAUAUGGUGGCAGUAUACAGUUAUCUUCUGAGAUUCUAAUCCUAAAUCAUAUAGCAUACUGCCCUAGAUUAAAUAACCUGAUCUCUUGAUAUUUUCCUCCUGUUGUUUUCCAUGUCUAGCUAGCCUAUCACUGUACCUCUACGCAUGCAUACCUACAGCUAGGACAUGAAGGCCUGAC